GGUGGGGGUUGGUUGUGGGCGGUGAAGUUGGAUUAGGGCUCCAUCUAGGGCGGCUACACGGAGGAGAAAAUCUAUUGCGGCGACGGCGAUUCCGCUGUGCAGCAAGAUCACGCGUGCGGCGGCUGCCAUGGAGUUCUUGAUGCAACCGAUAAACAGAACUCUGCUGGAGGAGGUGAACCACAACAACAGCAUGAUGGAGCCCGUGAGGUUCCCAGUCACCUCUCCGCAAAGAUUGAGCUGCCAGCAGCGCAAGUUUCUAGUGCGGACGGGCAGAUCUGUCGUGGCGAGGCUGCUGCUGAUCCUGGGAGUGCAGGGAAGGCUCAGAGAUCUGAGCACUCUGUAGAGCAAUUGGACCCAAAGACUCCGAGCUGGGCACAAAGGGAGGCCGCUGAUCCGAGCAAAUAUGCCAACCUAGAGACAUGCUGGGAAAAUAUACACAAGAGCUAUGUUCGAGCAAUUCGGCCACAUCCUUUGUGAGUGAGGUGCAUAUCAGGUGGAGGAGAUAGAGAAAGGUAAAAGAUGUGUUGCCAUACAUAAUGAUGCAGUGCUUAGAGAGAAGUGGUGCAGAACUUCAUACAAUGUCACAGUUAUUGAAGGAGGCGAAGAAUUUGAUUGUGAGUGUGGCCAGUUUGCACACAUGGGUCUGCUGUGCAGCCAUAUCCUAAAGGUACUUGACUUCAUUCGUGUCAUCGAAAUGCCAAAGAAGCACAUAGUUAAAAGGUGGACCAGAGAUGCAGGAGAUAUCCUGCCGAGACACCUGAUGCAAUACCAGAGGGACAAUGCUCAAGAAAACCCAUUUAGUUUCCGGCAUUUCAAUAUGUACAUGCAAGCUAUGGAGCUUCUGCGGAUGGGAGACUCAAGUGUGGCAGCUUAUGAAAACCUGAUUUCAUUGUUCAAGCACUGUGCUGCAGAGAUGAAGCCAUUCACAGACAUCCGAGAUGGUCUGGGUCUCGAAGACAGGCUAGCGGACAAUAUAAAAUAUCCGAAUAGGGUACAAUCUGAAGUUGAUAUACGUCCAAGGGGAGGAACUCAGAUUACAGUGGGUGAUGGUGACAACAACUCAGCUAACGAAUCUGCAACUCUGCCAACAAAGUUAUUACCACCGAUUAAAAGAAAGCAAGUGGGCAGACCAACAACAAUAGGGAGAAAGCACCAUAUGAGGGAUUAAGUAGUUGAGAUAUGUCGCACUCACACACUGCUUCUAUUCAUCCAUCAUAGGUACAUUUAUACACUUUACAGGAGAGGAAGCAGGAGAACGUGGGAGAGUACAACGGCCUUGGCCGGCUAUCGCUACCAUGCAGGAGAGGAUAAACAUGAAGUACGUGGGCUGUUGGAGACGCGCACGACGCUGGCUGCAUGGCUAGCGUCCUGACGAGAGGGACGUGG